rnacentral:misc_RNA from 1 species
AAGGAUCAUUACUGAAUGGCGUGGGCCUCCCUGUGAUAGACCUUUGCCCGCACCGCGGGCCUAUGGUCUUCCACGUAUGCUUUCUUUCACCACACAAAACCCGUCAUAGUAUGGCGUCAUGCUUUGAACAUACAUAAUAUAACUUUCAACAACGGAUCUCUUGGCUCUC